rnacentral:lncRNA from 1 species
CUUUUAUUAGUAUUUCGGUUGAACAAAAUUACUGUUCUAUACCUAACUAAAAUUUGGCCCAGAUUUCAGAUUUCAGAGGAGAAGAUUUUUGUAAGAGCUAACGACGACGGACGAAAAGUGAGUUACAAUAAGAAUAGAAAAUACGCUAAUACAUAGAAGUAAAAAAUAUAUCCGCCAGAAAUACAAAAAACACCAUAUAACUGCAUUGAUCAUGUCUAUAAAAAUAUUUCAGGUCUGUUAAAUCAUCACUAUCAAUCAAGCAUAUAAAAAAAAAAAAAAUCUUCUACUUAGAAUAUUUCAUCAGGUCUUGUCAACCAC